CCUACGGGAGGCAGCAGUAGGGAAUCUUCCACAAUGGGCGAAAGCCUGAUGGAGCAACGCCGCGUGGGUGAAGAAGGUCUUCGGAUCGUAAAACCCUGUUGUUAGAGAAGAAAGUGCGUGAGAGUAACUGUUCACGUUUCGACGGUAUCUAACCAGAAAGCCACGGCUAACUACGUGCCAGCAGCCGCGGUAAUACGUAGGUGGCAAGCGUUAUCCGGAUUUAUUGGGCGUAAAGGGAACGCAGGCGGGCUUUUAAGUCUGAUGUGAAAGCCUUCGGCUUAACCGGAGUAGUGCAUUGGAAACUGGGAGACGUGAGUGCAGAAGAGGAGAGUGGAACUCCAGGUGUAGCGGUGAAAUGCGUAGAUAUAUGGAAGAACACCAGUGGCGAAAGCGGCUCUCUGGUCUGUAACUGACGCUGAGGCACGAAAGCGUGGGUAUCGAACAGGAUUAGAUACCCUGGUAGUC
rnacentral:rRNA from 1 species